AGAGCCCAGCACCGAAGCCUGUGGUCAGUUGGCCAUUAGGCAAUGUGGUGUUUAGGUCAUUCCGCAGAAACACUGCUCCACCCCAAGUCCAUUAAUGGGUACGGUAGUACAGACAUGGCCCACGGAGGGUGAAAGGCCCGUUCGGGUGGAGAUUCGGCAGGCCAGUGUUUCUCUGGGUAGACCUUGGAGUCGGGUUGUUUGUGAAUGCAGCCCAAAGCGGGUGGUAAACUCCAUCCAAGGCUAAAUACAAGCACGAGUCCGAUAGCGAACAAGUACCGUGAGGGAAAGUUGAAAAGUACUUUGAAGAGAGAGUUAACAGUGCGUGAAACCGCUCAGAGGUAAGCAGGUGGAGUUGAACUGCAAGCCUUGAGAAUUCAGCUGGUGAGGGUGAUUUGGUCUUGGUCAAGUUGGUUGGGCCCCGAGGUACGUUCAAUUACGUGUCCCUUCCCUUGGGUUGGGGUGUGCGAUACACUUAUCAAGUGUUGCGCGCCUUGGGUGUUCAUCGAGCUUCCUUGCCAGUGCACUUUCUCAAGGUGUUCACCACGACCGGCGCUGCUGUCAGACUGUUACGGUCAAACUGGCUUCCAUAUAUGAUCAGCCGACCGUGAUGGUUCUGUGCGGUGCGUCGGAGACGGCGGCCAGUGGUGUGUGCAUGCGUGCCCGAUUUGCUGGCGUAUCCCGGUUUGGUUUCUGUGUUGCCUGUGUAACAGGCCCAGUUAUGGCUGGGGUUCGUUCGGUGGAUGGUUGCGUGUGUGACACUUCCGAGGGCCAAUAGUCUGUGGUGUAGUGGUAGACUAUCCACCUGACCCGUCUUGAAACACGGACCAAGGAGAGUAACAUGUACGCGAGUCAUUGGGCGUAACGAAACCCACAGGCGCAGUGAAAGUAAAGGUCUGACUUGUUCAGACUGAGGUGAGAUCCUGUCGUUUCCCACGCGUGGCAUCACCAAGCACGGAGCGGCAGGCGCAUCACCGGCCCGUCACAUGACGUAGUCUCGUCCUCGGAUGUGCAUCGUCGUGGCGGAGCAUGAGCGUACAUGUUGAGACCCGAAAGAUGGUGAACUAUGCUUGCGCAGGUUGAAGCCAGAGGAAACUCUGGUGGAGGACCGCAGCGAUUCUGACGU
rnacentral:rRNA from 1 species